CAGUGUUCUAGCUCUUUUAGAAUUUGUCUGGCAGGCUUUCUGGUUUUUGCUGGGAAACCACC
rnacentral:snRNA from 1 species